rnacentral:rRNA from 1 species
CUGCUGCCUCCCGUAGGAGUCUGGGCCGUGUCUCAGUCCCAAUGUGGCCGUCCACCCUCUCAGGCCGGCUACUGAUCGUCGGCUUGGUGGGCCGUUACCCCACCAACUACCUAAUCAGACGCGGGUCCAUCUUACACCACCUCAGUUUUUACCACUGUACCAUGCAGUACUGUGGUCUUAUGCGGUAUUAGCAGUCAUUUCUAACUGUUAUCCCCCUGUGUAAGGCAGGUUACCCACGCGUUACUCACCCGUCCGCCG